AUCUGUACUCUUUGGUUACAGUUGUUCAACCAGUUACUAAUCUAACUAAGUGUAACCGGCUAAACAACUGAACCCAAAGGGUGCAAAGUGAGAACAUU
rnacentral:pre_miRNA from 14 species